rnacentral:rRNA from 1 species
AUACGUAGGGGGCGAGCGUUGUCCGGAAUGAUUGGGCGUAAAGGGCGCGUAGGCGGCCCGGUAAGUCUGGAGUGAAAGUCCUGUUUUUAAGAUGGGAAUUGCUUUGGAUACUGUCGGGCUUGAGUGCAGGAGAAGUGAGUGGAAUUCCCAGUGUGGCGGUGAAAUUCGUAGAGAUUGGGAGGAACACCAGUGGCGAAGGCGACUUACUGGACUGUAACUGACGCUGAGGCGCGAAAGUGUGGGGAGCAAACAGGAUUAGAUGCCCUGGUAGUCCACACUGUAAACGAUGAAUGCUAGGUGUAGGGGGUAUCGACCCCUUCUGUGCCGCAGUCAACACAAUAAGCAUUCCGCCUGGGGAGUACGGCCGCAAGGUUGAAACUCAAAUGAAUUGACGGGG